GAUGAACGCUGGCGGCGUGCAUAACACAUUCAAGUCGAACGGUGACGGGGGCUUGGCCCCUGAUCAGUGGCGGACGGGUGAGUAACGCGUGAGCAACCUACCUUUGAUUGGGGAAUAACACAGGGAAACUUGUACUAAUACCGCAUGAGACCACGGUAAGGCAUCUUACAGGGGUCAAAGAUUAAUCGCUGAGAGGUGGGCUCGCGUCUGAUUAGAUAGUUGGUAGGGUAACGGCCUACCAAGUCGACGAUCAGUAGCCGACCUGAGAGGGUGAUCGGCCACAUUGGGACUGAGACACGGGCCCAAACUCCUACGGGAGGCAGCAGUGGGGAAUAUUGGGCAAUGGGGGAACCCUGACCCAGCAACGCCGCGUGGAGGAAGAAGGUUUUCGGAUCGUAAACUCCUGUCCUCAGGGAAGAGCAGAAGACGGUACCUGAGGAGGAAGCCCCGGCUAACUACGUG
rnacentral:rRNA from 1 species